AUGAAAGCAAGAUUGACAAGGCAUGUUGGUGAUGUAAGUAGUGCUCACGCUGAAGCUCAAGAGAAGUAUGAUAUGUUCACAACACCACAAACAUCAAUUCGGGAGUCUAUUGCUUCCAACACCUCACAAUACAAGGCUUUGUAUAAACAACGUUUGACAUGGACACUCAAGUGUGUGAGAUUUCUGUUGCACCAAGGCUUGGCAUUUAGAGGACAUGAUGAAAGUGAAGACUCAAUAAAUAAAGGAGAUUUGCUUGAGCUUCUAAAUUGGCUAGCAGGAAAUUUUGAAGAGGUUGACAAGGUUGUUCUCAAGAAUGCUCCAUGGAACUGCAAGAUGACUCACCAUGAUAUACAACAAGAGGUGAUAAAAUGUUGUGCACAAGAGACUACUAAACUAGUCAUUGAAGAACUUGAUGGUUGUAAUUUUCCAAUACUUGCAGAUGAGUCUAGUGAUGUGUAUCAGAAUGAACAGUUCACUAGUAGGAAAAGGGGCUUUUACCCCGGUUCAUAA
rnacentral:rRNA from 1 species